UACGGGAGGCAGCAGUGGGGAAUAUUGCACAAUGGGCGAAAGCCUGAUGCAGCUAUGCCGCGUGUAUGAAGAAGGCCUUAGGGUUGUAAAGUACUUUCAUCGGGGAGGAAAAAACAAAACUAAUAAUUUUAUUUCUUGACGUUACCCGAAAAAGAAGCACCGGCUAACUCCGUGCCAGCAGCCGCGGUAAUACGGAGGGUGCUAGCGUUAAUCAGAAUUACUGGGCGUAAAGAGCACGUAGGUGGUUUUUUUAAGUCAGAUGUGAAAUCCCUGGGCUUAACCUAGGAACUGCAUUUUGAAACUGAAAUACUAGAGUAUCGUAGAGGGAGGUAGAAUUCUAGGUGUAGCGGUGAAAUGCGUAGAUAUCUGGAGGAAUACCUGUGGCGAAAAGCGGCCUCCUAAACGAAUACUGACACUGAGGUGCGAAAGCGUGGGGAGCAAAACAGGGAUUAGAUACC
rnacentral:rRNA from 1 species